rnacentral:lncRNA from 1 species
CCACGCGUUGCCGCUGCUGUUUCAGGGCAUGGCUGACACAGCCACGGAGUAGCACUGCUGGGCACCGUGCCAGCCGGGUGGGAGCCCCAUCUCGCCCGUCUCCAGCCCACUUCUAAUCGUCAUCCAAGCCCUAAGAAACAUGGCAAGUUUUGGAAACCGAGGAAGAUGUUUUGAGAAGGGCAGGAUCUCACACUGCAGCUCUCUAGCAACCCGUCAGAGUGCCCAUUGGAUGAUCUUCACGGUUUCGCUAUGAAGGAGCCCCAGCGUCCUCAGCUGAUGUGAUGCUGCAAAGGCCCAGCUGCCACGCCGGCUCGCUCUGCCCCGUCUGCCAAACCCUCCCCGAGCCGCCGGCCUCGCUCAGGACGGACCGAAAGGCAGAGAAACGAGACCGUGAAGGUACCACGCUGGAGGCGAAGGGCUUGGUGUGCCAAAGAACCAAGGGCAGGAUACGAACGUCUGUAAGGCACAAUUAG